GCAGAACGCGAAGAACCUUACCAACCCUUGACAUGGCAGGACGGUUACCAGAGAUGGUUUCCUUCACUUCGGUGACCUGCACACAGGUGCUGCAUGGCUGUCGUCAGCUCGUGUCGUGAGAUGUUGGGUUAAGUCCCGCAACGAGCGCAACCCUCGCCCUUAGUUGCCAUCAUUUAGUUGGGCACUCUAAGGGGACUGCCGGUGAUAAGCCGGAGGAAGGUGGGGAUGACGUCAAGUCUUCAUGGCCCUUACGGGUUGGGCUACACACGUGCUACAAUGGCGGUGACAGAGGGCUGCUAGUCCGCGAGGACAUGCUAAUCCCUAAAAGCCGUCUCAGUUCGGAUUGCACUCUGCAACUCGAGUGCAUGAAGUCGGAAUCGCUAGUAAUCGCAGAUCAGCACGCUGCGGUGAAUACGUUCCCGGGUCUUGUACACACCG
rnacentral:rRNA from 1 species